CGCCUUGCCAGCCCGCUCAGAACUCAAAUGAAUUGACGGGGACCCGCACAAGCAGCGGAGCGUGUGGUUUAAUUCGUUGCUACACGAAGAACCUUACCUGGGUUUGACAUAUAGGUUGUAGGGAACUGAAAAGGGACCGACCCUUCGGGGAGCCUAUACAGGUGUUGCAUGGCUGUCGUCAGCUCGUGUCGUGAGAUGUUCGGUUAAGUCCGCUAACGAGCGCAACCCUCGUCGUAUGUUAUAUGUGUCAUACGAGACUGCCGGUAAAAAGCCGGAGGAAGGUGAGGAUGAUGUCAAGUCAGCAUGACCUUUAUAUCCAGGGCUACACACACGCUACAAUGGUCUGUACAAUGGGUAGCCAAGCCGCGAGGCGGAGCCAAUCCUGAAAGCAGGCCUCAGUUCAGAUUGCAGUCUGCAACUCGACUGCAUGAAGCCGGAGUUGCUAGUAACCGCAGGUCAGCAAUACUGCGGUGAAUACGUUCCCGGGUCUU
rnacentral:rRNA from 1 species